rnacentral:tRNA from 1 species
GCGCCCAUAGCUCAGAAGUAGAGCACACGCCUGAUAAGCGUGGGGUCGGAGGGUCGCACCUCCUGGGCGCA